rnacentral:tRNA from 9 species
ACUUAUAAAGGUUUUAAUCCUUUUCUUUUUA